rnacentral:tRNA from 1 species
CGGGGCGUGGCGCAGCCCGGUAGCGCGCUUGCAUGGGGUGCAAGAGGUCCCGGGUUCGAAUCCCGGCGCCCCGA